UACGGGGGGGGCAAGCGGUUGUUCGGAAUUACUGGACGUAAAGGGCCGCGUUAGGGUCGGGUUCAUUAAGUUGGAUGUGAAAACUCUGGGCUUAAACUCAGAGCCGUGCCAUUCAAAAUCUGAUGGGCUGGAGUUCUGGAGGGGAUAGCGGGAAGUUCCGUGGUGUAGCGGUGAAAUGCGUAGAUAUCAGGAGGAACACCUGUGGUGUAGACGGCUUUCUGGACCAUAACUGACGCUGAGACACGAAAGCGUGGUAGCAAACAG
rnacentral:rRNA from 1 species